AGUGAACGCUGGCGGUAGGCCUAACACAUGCAAGUCGAACGGCAGCACAGUAAGAGCUUGCUCUUACGGGUGGCGAGUGGCGGACGGGUGAGGAAUACAUCGGACUCUACUUUUUCGUGGGGGAUAACGUAGGGAAACUUACGCUAAUACCGCAUACGACCUACGGGUGAAAGCAGGGGAUCUUCGGACCUUGCGCGAUUGAAUGAGCCGCUGUCGGAUUAGCUAGUUGGCGGGGUAAAGGCCCACCAAGGCGACGAUCCGUAGCUGGUCUGAGAGGAUGAUCAGCCACACUGGAACUGAGACACGGUCCAGACUCCUACGGGAGGCAGCAGUGGGGAAUAUUGGACAAUGGGCGCAAGCCUGAUCCAGCCAUACCGCGUGGGUGAAGAAGGCCUUCGGGUUGUAAAGCCCUUUUGUUGGGAAAGAAAAGCAGCAGGUUAAUACCCCGCUGUUCUGACGGUACCCAAAGAAUAAGCACCGGCUAACUUCGUG
rnacentral:rRNA from 1 species